AAUCCUUAGACGCAAAUGAACUUAUGGAACAAAAUCUCUGAUUCCAAGAGCCAGUGAAAAGUUAUAUGCUUAACGGAUUUAAUUAGCUGUACCCACAACCGGCACUGGUGCUCUAGCUUAGUAGGCUAAGGCCUGUAAGGGAUAAAUUGAUUAAGGGAAUUCGGCACAUUGGCCCCGUAUCUUCGGUAGAAGGGGUGUCUAUAUAUGUCUCUGAUUUAUUAGAGGCAUAAGUAGAUCGCAGUGACUAGGACUGCCCGACUGUUUAUCAAAAACGUAGCCGAAUGCUAAUCCGAAAGGACGUGUAUAUUCGGUGAGACCUGUCCAGUGGUGGUGUCUGAAACUCCUUUUCAAGGGAGCUAAUGCCCAUCAAACGGCGGGGGUAACUAUGACCCUCUUAAGGUAGCGUAAUGCCUUGUCGUCUGAAUGGCGACGUGCAUGAACGGCUUAACGAUGUUGUCACUGUCCCUAACUUGGACCCUCCGAAAUCAUUUACCGGUGAAAAGGCCGGUGUCGUCUAGUGGGAAGCGAAGACCUUGUAGACCUUUACUGCAACCUGUUGUUGUGAUUUUAUUAUGAUUGCCCAGAGUAGGUAGGAGCGUUGAUGUUAGAUUUCGGUCGAAACGGAGCAAAAGUGUAACACUACCCAAUUUUAGUAAAAUCACUAACCUUAUUGGAACAGCAAUUGGCGGGCAGUUUGGCUGGGGCGGCACCCCGCAGAAAGAAUAUCUGCGGGGCCCAAAGACAAGCUCAUCCAGGUCGGAAAUCUGGAGUAGAGUGUAAAGGCAAAAGCUUGUCUGACUGUUUUUCGAAAAGCAAGAAAAACAGGAAUGAAAGUUGGGCUUAACGAACCUUCGAUGAUUUUUAAUGGAUCACGAAGACGUCAGAAAAGGUACUUCAAGGAUAACAGGCUUGUCGCCCCCGAUAGUUCACAUUGACGGGGCGGUUUGGUACAUCGCUGUCGGCUCUUCCUAUCCUGGAUGUGCACAAGCAUCCAAGGGUGUCGGAGUUCACGCAUUAAAAGGGAUCGUUAGCUGGGUUAAGAACGUCGUGAGACAGUUUGUAUGAUAUCUACUAGAUGUGUUGUUAACUGAGUGGAAGGACCCUCCAGUACGAGAGGAACGUGGGUUCGGAGCCUCUGGUCUACCAGUUGUUAUGAGCAGGCUGGGCAGCUACGCUCUGAACUGAUAAGUGCUGAAAGCAUCUAAGCACGAAGCGGUCCGCAAAACGAAACAACAUAUGCCGCAGUAGAAGACUGCGUUGAUAGAGACGGAAUGUAAGCAUUGAGCUUUCGCGAUUUGUUCAGCGGGCAGGUACUAAAAGCUACACAUUAAUUUA
rnacentral:rRNA from 1 species